GCUGGUAGUCGUGUGGAGGUGAGAAAGGAGGAUCCAAAAGCAGACAGUGGCGGAGAUGCAAGUGGGUUUAUUUACAGUGCACAGAAACCAAGGUGUGGGCAGGACCGAACAAAAACCUAAACUGGGAAAACUAAUACAAAAAGGAGGACAUGGAGCAUGGAGCAUGGAGCAUGGAGCAGAGAGACACAGAGAAACACGGAAUGAUGUUGACUACACCGAAGGUUCACAGAGAAACACAGACGACACGACGAGGAGCACAGGCAAACACACAGUAUAAAUACACACACCAGGUAAUUAGGAAAUGGUAAACAGGAGGGGACACAGCUGGAACUAAUGAACAUAACGAGACACAAAUCUACAAAGUAAAACAGGAAACACACAGACUGUUUUACAACACAAAACUCGGGGACCCGAACAGAACGCAGAGGGAAGACACAGUUUUUUUGCGGCAACACUGUCUGAAAGUUGCAGUUGCAGUACUUCAGUAUCUAGCCAGCCCUACUAAAGAUGAGCGAGCAUAAAGCCAUUACAACUGCUUUUACGGUUCCCCCAAGUCCGGAGAGUGGUGUCCCCACCAUGGGGACUUGCCGCACCUGGAGCGCAAUUACGCACCUGCAGCUGAUCAGCCUCAUCUUGGGAGCUUCUUAGCAGAGUUGCUGAGCUCCCGUCAACGCUGGGUUGUUGUGAGAGAAUUAAUUGGAGGAAUAGACCGGGAGCACUGUGAACAUUGAACAAAGGAGUGCAACACGGACCCAUGUCACGGGAGAAAGACACACACUCUCUCACCUGCAGCACACAUCGUAAAUAUCCUCCACCUUGUUGUCAUUUUCACUGUAAAUAAACGCACUGUCUUCAUUCAGAGAAUCCAGUGUUUGGGUCUUAUAUCAUUUAGUUAAUCUUGUGCUUAUGGCUGACAACAUGUGAUUUGAUGCCCUCUAGCAACAAUUAAAAAAAA